GUCGGGAAUCUUCCACAAUGGGCGAAAGCCUGAUGGAGCGACGCCGCGUGAGGGAAGAAGGCCUUCGGGUCGUAAACCUCUGUCCCCUGGGACGAUAAUGACGGUACCAGGGGAGGAAGCCACGGCUAACUACGUGCCAGCAGCCGCGGUAAUACGUAGGUGGCGAGCGUUGUCCGGAAUUACUGGGCGUAAAGGGUGCGUAGGCGGUUAUUUAAGUCUCGUGUGAAAGGCGCCGGCUUAACCGGCGAGAGCCACGGGAAACUGGGUAGCUAGAGUGCCGGAGAGGGUCGCGGAAUUCCCGGUGUAGCGGUGAUAUGCGUAGAUAUCGGGAGGAACACCAGUGGCGAAGGCGGCGGCCUAGACGGUAACUGACGCUGAGGCACGAAAGCUGGGGGAGCAAACAGGAUUAGAAACCCCAGUAGUCC
rnacentral:rRNA from 1 species